UGCUGGAGCGAAUAGAAGUGAGCAUGCAGGCAUGAGUAGCGAUAAUUAAUGUGAGAAUCAUUAACGCCGUAAACCCAAGGUUUCCUACGCGAUGCUCGUCAUCGUAGGGUUAGUCGGGUCCUAAGUCGAGUCCGAAAGGGGUAGACGAUGGCAAAUUGGUUAAUAUUCCAAUACCAACAUUAGUGUGCGAUGGAAGGACGCUUAGGGCUAAGGGGGCUAGCGGAUGGAAGUGCUAGUCUAAGGUCGUAGGAGGUUAUACAGGCAAAUCCGUAUAACAAUACUCCGAGAACUGAAAGGCUUUUUGAAGUCUUCGGAUGGAUAGAAGAACCCCUGAUGCCAUCGAGCCAAGAAAAGUUUCUAAGUUUAGCUAAUGUUGCCCGUACCGUAAACCGACACAGGUGGGUGGGAUGAGUAUUCUAAGGCGCGUGGAAGAACUCUCUUUAAGGAACUCUGCAAAAUAGCACCGUAUCUUCGGUAUAAGGUGUGGUUCGCUUCGUAUUAGGAUUUACUCCGAAAGCGAAGAAACUUACAACAAAGAGUCCCUCCCGACUGUUUACCAAAAACACAGCACUCUGCUAACUCGUAAGAGGAUGUAUAGGGUGUGACGCCUGCCCGGUGCUCGAAGGUUAAUUGAUGGGGUUAGCAUUAGCGAAGCUCUUGAUCGAAGCCCGAGUAAACGGCGGCCGUAACUAUAACGGUCCUAAGGUAGCGAAAUUCCUUGUCGGUUAAAUACCGACCUGCAUGAAUGGCGUAACGAGAUGGGAGCUGUCUCAAAGAGGGAUCCAGUGAAAUUGUAGUGGAGGUGAAAAUUCCUCCUACCCGCGGCAAGACGGAAAGACCCCGUGGACCUUUACUACAGCUUGACACUGCUAUUUGGAUAAGAAUGUGCAGGAUAGGUGGGAGGCUUUGAGUAUAUGACGCCAGUUGUAUAUGAGCCAUUGUUGAGAUACCACUCUUUCUUAUUUGGGUAGCUAACCAGCUUGAGUUAUCCUCAAGUGGGACAAUGUCUGGUGGGUAGUUUGACUGGGGCGGUCGCCUCCCAAAUAAUAACGGAGGCUUACAAAGGUUGGCUCAGAACGGUUGGAAAUCGUUCGUAGAGUAUAAAGGUAUAAGCCAGCUUAACUGCAAGACAUACAAGUCAAGCAGAGACGAAAGUCGGUCUUAGUGAUCCGGUGGUUCUGUGUGGAAGGGCCAUCGCUCAAAGGAUAAAAGGUACCCCGGGGAUAACAGGCUGAUCUCCCCCAAGAGCUCACAUCGACGGGGAGGUUUGGCACCUCGAUGUCGGCUCAUCGCAUCCUGGGGCUGGAGCAGGUCCCAAGGGUAUGGCUGUUCGCCAUUUAAAGCGGUACGCGAGCUGGGUUCAGAACGUCGUGAGACAGUUCGGUCCCUAUCUGCCGUGGGCGUAAGAAGAUUGAAGAGAUUUGACCCUAGUACGAGAGGACCGGGUUGAACAAACCACUGGUGUAGCUGUUGUUCUGCCAAGAGCAUCGCAGCGUAGCUAAGUUUGGAAAGGAUAAACGCUGAAAGCAUCUAAGCGUGAAGCCAACUCUAAGAUGAAUCUUCUCUAAGCUCUCUAGAAGACUACUAGUUUGAUAGGCUGGGUGUGUAAUGGAUGAAAGUCCUUUAGCUGACCAGUACUAAUAGAGCGUUUGGCUUAUCUUUAAUAAAGCAU
rnacentral:rRNA from 1 species